rnacentral:rRNA from 1 species
UGGGGAAUAUUGGACAAUGGGGGCAACCCUGAUCCAGCAAUGCCGCGUGUGUGAAGAAGGUCUUCGGAUUGUAAAGCACUUUCGUUGGGGAAGAUGAUGACGGUACCCAAAGAAGAAGCCCCGGCUAACUUCGUGCCAGCAGCCGCGGUAAUACGAAGGGGGCUAGCGUUGCUCGGAAUGACUGGGCGUAAAGGGCGCGUAGGCGGUUUAUACAGUCAGGUGUGAAAUCCUUGGGCUUAACCUGAGAACUGCAUUUGAGACGUGUAGACUAGAGUAUGAGAGAGGGUUGUGGAAUUCCCAGUGUAGAGGUGAAAUUCGUAGAUAUUGGGAAGAACACCGGUUGCGAAGGCGGCAACCUGGCUCAUUACUGACGCUGAGGCGCGAAAGCGUGGGGAGCAAACAGG